GAGGGUAUAGCUCAGUGGGAGAGUGCUUGCUUUGCAUGCACGAGGUUCUGGGUUCAAUCCCCAGUACUUCCA
rnacentral:tRNA from 1 species